CGAGGGCAGACGCGGUACCAGGUGCGGAAGGGGGUGGCGGCCCGGGCCCGUCCUUGGAAGAAGAACCUGGAAGAGGUCUUUGGGAAGAGGUGGCUGCUCGGACUGCUCAUCCCCGUGCUCAACGUAGGAAGCGACUAUCACAGGCAGAAGGAGCAGUGACGCCGUCCGGCACACAGGUGCGCACACGCACACGUACAUGCACAUGCGUGGGCCAUAAUGGAGUUGCAGCACUUUGAGGCGCUUCUCUUUCCCUCCCCACAUCUCAGCCUUGCCACCUACAGGAAGGGAGGCAACUAUCAAGCUAGCUGGGCUGAUUCUGUAUUUUAGAAGGGGAAAUUGCGGCCCGUGUUAUAUAUGAAGCUACAGCAGUAAUCUCUGGGUUGCUAAAAGCGUUCAUCAGACCAACCCUUGGGACUCUGAAUCAUUUUCUCACUGUGCCCCUUCUCACAAUCUUCUCCCUUCCCACCUUGCCUUUCAUGCUUAACUUGCCGUAGGAGUAGCAACAACAACAUCCCCCAGCAUCUCAAGGUAGUCUGCGUUGCUCUGAGUAGGCUGUAAGCACAGCAGAUACUCCUGUGGGAUUUGCCCAAUCUGUUACUUGAAAGCUUCUUCUUCUUCUUUUUUGCAGUUUUUCAACUGACCCCAAUAUAGCAAGGAGCCGGUUUCACAAGAACAGCAGAAUGUGGUUGGUGAAGCACUUUAAGGUGCAAGGAAUGACAACUGCUGGGGAGGCAGAUGGUAUAUGCCUGCACACUUCAGAGAUGACAAGCAUUUCCCUGCCCAUUUCUAGUUGCUCCCCUCCCCUCCAACAUCCAGGAACGAUAGUUAACAGCCUGAGCAUGUGGCCUGCCCAGGGUAGCAGGUCUGCUGGCUGAUUUUUAUUUUUAUAUUUUUUAGAGAAUGAGGUUCGUUUUCAACCCACUUGCCCUGAUCCCUGACACAUAGAGCUGUUCAAAGCCCAUCUUGCCAAUAGGAUGAGGAAACAAGCUUAUUUGCGGUGAGCACAAUGAUGGCAGCAGGGACAGCAGGCAAGCGUAUGUGAAUGGAGCGAUUGAAUGUAUGAAGACAUUAAAGUUCUGGACUGUCUUAUACUGAGGCAGAGCACUGGUCCACUGAGCCCACGAUUGUCUGACUU